CCGAUGGAGGGCGGGAGAUUGCUUGGAUGGCGAUCCAUGGCGAUCGGGAUUGGGCCAAUCGAACGACGUCUUUCACGGUCAUACCAGCCUGCCUACAUCUAGGCAGAAAAGGUUGGAUUCAGCCUAACAAGCAAUCAACUGGACAAGGCAAUGACAGGAUCAUAGCAUAGCAAGGUAGAGGUGUUGAGGACUUACAAGUAAUUUUGAGAGAGGCAGAAAGAUAUCCUGCUUCUAUCUUUUGGCUCUUGACACCUACCUGCCACUCAAUAAUAGUGUUGGGUCAAUGCAUGAGAGAACAACAACAACAACAAGAGGACAUUGUUCUUACCCCAGUUUAUUGGUACCACCUCCAAGUCUCCACCAUUCCCAUCUCCUUCUGCUGCUCCUUAUCUCAUCCAUCCACUCUUCCAGGAAGAUCUCCAUGGAGAAAAAGUCCGAGAGGCCAAGUCGACACCAGAGGAAUGCGUCGCGGGGUGUCUUUGCUCUCCCUGAAAACUUCUCCAGCUCUGAAGCUCCUCCAGUGGAAGUUAGUGAGCAGAAGACGGCAUGCAAGCCGGCCCAGAAUCCACCUGAUGGUCGUCCUUCAGCUUCGCUGCAACAGGAGCUGAAGAGCAGUGUUACUAAAAAUCACUGAGGCUGUGUGCUUAAUCUGUGUCUUUGCACUCUUUGUAAUAGAUGCACUUUCCUAUCUCUAUAACGCCACAAUAGUUUCACUGUCCUGUGAGUGCAUGCCACCAGCAGUUGCUGCAAUGCAAAAUAAAUGGACAUCAAGAGCUAGUUCUUAUGAUUUAUCCU